CGCAUCUGUGCAUGCAGCAUAUCAAUAAGCGGAGGAAAAGAAACUAACAAGGAUUCCCCUAGUAACGGCGAGUGAAGCGGGAAGAGCUCAAAUUUGAAAUCUUAAAGGGUUUCCCUUUACGAAUUGUAGUUUAAAGAAGUGUUUUCUGUUGAGGUUUUGGUAAAAGUUCUUUGGAAUAGGACAUCAUAGAGGGUGAGAAUCCCGUAUUUGACCUUUACUUUCAACUUUGUGAUACACUUUCAAAGAGUCGGAUUGUUUGGGAAUGCAGUUCAAAAUGGGUGGUAAAUUUCAUCUAAAGCUAAAUAUUGGCGAGAGACCGAUAGCGAACAAGUACCGUGAGGGAAAGAUGAAAAGAACUUUGAAAAGAGAGUUAAACAGUACGUGAAAUUGUCAAAAGGGAAGCGUUUGACACCAGUGUUGUUUUUCUGAAAAUCAAUUAAAGAACUGUUUAUGCUAAGUCUGUUUAGACUUUAUCAGCUGAUCUGUUUAGUUUUGAGCUUUUCUUUAAUGCACUUUUCAGUUAACAAGUCAACAUCAAUUUCUUUUGCUGUAAAAAAGCUUGAGGAAGGUGGCUUGAGAUUCGUCUUAAGUGUUUAUAGCCUCUCGCCUAUGCAGUCGGAGAGAUUGAGGUCUGCAGCGUAGAUCCUUCGGGGCUAAAUGCAUUUGUGCUAAGUUAUAGCAUUUUAUAGACAACUUGUUGACUAUGAUUUGUCUUGUAGCUUACUCGCUUAUGUUAUUUUACCUACGCUUAGGAUGUUGACAGCAGUAUAGACUGU
rnacentral:rRNA from 1 species